rnacentral:lncRNA from 1 species
GCUUGCAGGGGUGCUGGAGUUCUGAGAGGAGCAGAAAGCUAGGGGGAGGGGAGGAGGAGGAAGCCAUUGGUUGGUCUCAUGUGCUCAAAGCUUUGCAGCAGGCAGGUUCUGGACUCCGUGCCAGGGCCUCUCCCAGGACUGGAGGUGGGUAGGGUUGUUCUGAUUGCUCCACCCAUUCCUCCCUGUGCUUGUGGGGCUCUGUGUAGUAACUGCCCCCUGGGAACUUGUAUACAGCAAAAUGGAAAGCAGAGGCUGAUUUCUUUCUACUUAAUCUGUGUGGGGCCAGGGAGAAAACAAGGGGUUCAGCACGGAGUCUUUCUUCCCUUUGGGGUCUGGCUAGGGAAACAGAUGCACAUGUCAGGCAAGUUCAGGAGACCUUUUAAUAAGCUCUCUGCUCCCUUCCCAUUGGGAUCCCAUCUCACAGCCGCUGGGCUCCUAACUCCAGGUAGCAACCACUCUAUAGCCCCGUCUGGCUCCUUUCCCAAGGAAGAGCAGUAUCCCACCAUUGUCCAGGAGCAGGGCAGCGUCUGUGAACAGGUACCUUCCGUGGGAUCAGCAGCUUCACUUCUGAAGUGAGACCCCUUCCGUGGCGAGGCUGGACUCCAUUGUUUUACUUUGUUUUCUUUUAUUCUGUUUUGAGACAGGGUCUCACACUGUGUCCCAGACUGGUCUGAAACUAUCUAUGUGUAGCCCAGGCAGAAGUGGCAUACGCAGCAAUUCUCCUGUCUCAGUGUCCUGGCUGCUGAGCUUGCAGGCUGACAUUUUGAUGCAGGAUCUCCCAGUGACCAAUCAGGCUAGACUGACCGGCAAGCAAGCUCUCUGGUGCCUGGAUUAUGUGCCUGGAUUAUGAACGCUCAUUACCACACCUCGCUUUGGUUUCAUGAAGGUUCUGGGGUCACACUCACCCCCACUGCACAGCCACCAUCAGCUGUGUCCUCUGGACAUUCUGACAGGUUGUUAGAACUGUUUCUGAGAAAAUAUGAUUCCCCACCCCAGCUUCAGCAUGGAUCCGGGCACCCCUGACAUUCAGUGGCACUCACUUCUGCUAAUAGGGAUCUUAGAGAUGAUCUUGGAGACGGAAGGCAUCAGUCCAAAAUGGCCACACAGCAAAUACAAACGGUGAGCCAGACAACUUGUCUCGGUGACACCUGAAUCAAGGCAGGGACCUUGUGUCACAAAGGGAGCAGCAGCCAUAAAUAUCCACAGUGGUGUGAAAUACCAGAAUGCUCUCCACAGCCCAUGAAAUGGACAUAAAUGUUUACUUCACACUAUAAUUAUGAAGAGGGGCCAUGGAUCGCCAUAAAACCCUAAAGAUUGAUGCUAAACCAACCACCUCCUUAGUAUCAUAAAUUCUGCCUGCGGUUAUAUGCAGUAUUUAAUAAACAUUAAUGAAAAUUUUGUUUAUAACACAUUUUUUUUUAAAAAAAUGGGGCUGGUGAG